rnacentral:lncRNA from 1 species
GUGGGCCUGGGGCCUGGUGGGAGGCGAGCGUGUUUCUGAGGAACAGGCUUGUGCGCCGAGAGUUGCCCGUCAGGUCGCGGGACAGCUGUGCGGCGCGCGGAGCGAGGGGGGGGAUCUCUUCGUGCGCGUCACACGUUCAUGGAACGGGCGGUGUGUGCCGGGCACGGGGCCAGCCUGGGGAUGCGGUGCCCGGGAGUCGGGCGCUGAAGCGGCCCCUGUGGUCUUGGCUCCUUGGAACCAAGUCUUGCUGGAAGGACAGACGUGAAGAAGAUAGUGACGUUGGUCUCGAUGGGUUCUGAGGAGUGCAGCUCUCCGUCUUAAUCUCGGCCUCCUCCAAAAUAGACACAGAUGUCGGACACUGUCAUCCUGGAACUCAGAGCUCAGCGGGGAAGAUGGAGUAUGAAUAAAGUGUUACAACGCAACCCAGCAUCUGGGAGAGGAGGAUGAGUUAACCAGACAAAGAGUGACUGCAGAAGCAAUCCAGGGAGAAAACCAGCCCGUGUGAAGGUCUUGAGGUGUCCAGCUUCUGCAGGAGGAAGUACAGAAGCUCCGAGAUUAGACCACACAGGGUCAAAACCUGCUCCUGCCGCUGACUGGCUGUCUGUCCUUCAUCAGGUCAUUUAACCUCU